rnacentral:rRNA from 1 species
CUUCGGAGGUACUCGAGUGGCGAACGGGUGAGUAACACGUGGGUGAUCUGCCCUGCACUCUGGGAUAAGCCUGGGAAACUGGGUCUAAUACCGGAUAGGACCAUGCUUUAGUGUGUGUGGUGGAAAGUUUUUUCGGUGUAGGAUGAGCCCGGGGCCUAUCAGCUUGUUGGUGGGGUAAUGGCCUACCAAGGCGGCGACGGGUAGCCGGCCUGAGAGGGUGUACGGCCACAUUGGGACUGAGAUACGGCCCAG